GCUCUGAUAGCACAGUUGGCAGUUGCACGCGCUUAGUAAGCGCGAGGUCGCCGGUUCGAAUCCGGCUUAGAGCU